rnacentral:rRNA from 1 species
UACGUAGGUGGCAAGCGUUGUCCGGAUUUACUGGGCGUAAAGAGCGCGCAGGCGGUUAAUUAAGUCGAAUGUGAAAGCCCCCGGCUCAACUGGGGAGGGUCAUUCGAUACUGAUUGACUUGAAGGCAGGAGAGGGUAGUGGAAUUCCCGGUGUAGUGGUGAAAUGCGUAGAUAUCGGGAGGAACACCUAUGGCGAAGGCAGCUCGCUGGGACGUUACUGACGCUGAGACGCGAAAGCGUGGGGAGCAAACAGG